UACGAAGGGAGCUAGCGUUGUUCGGAAUUACUGGGCGUAAAGCGUGCGCAGGCGGUGAUGUAAGACAGUUGUGAAAUCCCCGGGCUCAACCUGGGAACUGCAUCUGUGACUGCAUCGCUGGAGUGCGGCAGAGGGGGAUGGAAUUCCGCGUGUAGCAGUGAAAUGCGUAGAUAUGCGGAGGAACACCGAUGGCGAAGGCAAUCCCCUGGGCCUGCACUGACGCUCAUGCACGAAAGCGUGGGGAGCAAACAGG
rnacentral:rRNA from 1 species